ensembl:lncRNA
UGCCUAGGCAAAUUCCGUAUAGCCAGACAUCAAGAUGUACCAGGCAAAGAGCUUAGCUCCUCCUAAUUGCAUCACCUAAUGUUUGACGAAGAAUUACAGUGAUCUGGUAGAUAAAUACUGCACCUGGAGAGCAUUCUAGCAGGGAUGGCUUUGGAAAUGCCCUACAAAGUAGGGGCCUGUAGGCUAGGAGCUUUAUAGUCCUUCCCUCCCACUUUUACUGUAUCUCUACAGUAGACAAUAAAAUAUCUUUUCCUCCAAAGCAGCAUAGGAGUGCUGAGGCAUUGGAGAAUGGGAAUUAAGUCUGGUGUGACCAGAGUGGAGCUUGUAUUGGUAGUCUGGUAGAGAUGGCGAGAAAAACUGGAACGGCUCUUCAGGAAUUCUAGGAACAAAACAUAAUGCCUUGAUGAAGAAAACUGGGUUUAAAUCUGAGGCAAUGGAAAUCUUUAAAAGGUUCAAUUUGGAACAUGAUUUUCCUGCUGUCUUGGGAAAGUCGCUGUGGGAAAAGAUGAAAAUUCUGUUACUGGGGAGCAAAAUGGAUGAAGAAAGAAUCGUUGGAAAACUGAUGAAGUGGUCCAGGUGCAAGUCCAAUGACAGCCUGGGGAUGAGGACCAAGAGAAAGCAGAGGUGAUAAAGAAGGACGAAGAUAGCUGUUAACCUCCAGAGAAUAGAGGCAAAGAAGUGAAUUUGGGGAGUCAGGGAGGUGAUGGUGGAGAUGGAGAUGAAGUUUGAUUUGCUUUAUACAUUUGAGGGAGACACUAGAAGGGAGGAUCCAAGACAGCAGGGCAAAAGGAUGUAUCCAGAAAACAGAACCACAAAUGGUAGCGAGGUCAUGGAGAAAGAGGAACCCUUAAUCACUGUGGGUGCUUGUGUAAACUGGUCCAGCCACUAUGGAACUCUCCAUGAAGUUUCUCAACAAAUUACGAACAGAACUACAAUAUGACCAGCUAUGCUGCUUCUGUGUACAUACUUGAAGGAUUCUCAGUCAUAAGAAGUGAACCUAGGUUAGAUGCACAUCAACAUGUGGAAUUUUAUUAGACCAUAAAGAAGAAUGAAAUCACGGCGACAUUUUCAGGUUUGAAAUACAUCUAUGACAUCUAUUAAAUAUGAGCAAUCAAAACUGCGGACUGAUGGAGUAGAAUGAGCUCUGGGCAAAGAGCCAGAAUCUUGGAGUUCAAGCUUGUUGCUGUAGCAAUCACCAGCUCUGUGACCUCAGAUAAGAAGUUUCCCAAAAUGUUGACUCUCCAGAUGAUGGAUGUGAUAAUUUGUAGCCAUUCCUGC